GUGCUCACUGGGGCAGCACGUACACUGAAAUUGGAGCAACACAGGAAAGGUUAGCAUGGCCCUGCGCAGAGGGGACAGCCAAGUUUGUGAAGCGCUCUGUAUACAA
rnacentral:snRNA from 1 species